UCGCAUCAGAAAUUUGGAAGAGGUGACAAUAGGCAAGUUCAAGAAGGGUUUCAAGGGAAUAUGGUUCCUCAAGGGCAAUCUUACUAUGGAGGGAUA